UUAUUGUAUUUUUAAACAAAUUAUUUUUCAAAAAUGAAAAAAAAAAUCUAUCACUUACUUAUUAAUUUACAAAAUGUUUUGACAUCAACAAAUUAAUAAAAAAUAAAUAUUCGUAUUUUACUAAUGAUAAAAUUAUUAUUAUUAUUAUUAUUAUUUUAAUGGCCUUUAUUUUAUUUUUUUAUUUUUUUAAUUUUUAUUAUUGAACGGACAAGAUUAAAAGUAAAUCUUACAAGUAGAAUCAGAAGCUCUGCUCUGUAAAACCGACAGAGGACCACAGGCCGCUGCUGGGGACUGCCAAUUGCCAAAUCCAAGCAGGGAGCAGCUAUAAGAAUAAGAGGGGAGCUAGGAGGCGAUUGCAGGUGAAGCGGAGGCGAUUUUGAGGGUGGAAUUUAGGGGUUUUCCGGUGAUUGAGAACAAAAAAGGUCGAAAGAGCAGAGCUCGAGAGGAGAGAGGAAUCAAAGGGGAGACGAUUGACAAAGAAGGAAAACCAGAGGAGGCUCUCAGCUUACGGUGAGUCCUCCAUCGCUUUCUUUUGUAAACAGAGCAGAGAGAGAGUCUAGGAGGUUUUGGAGAGAGUUUUUGAGGGGUGUUAUAAUUUCUUAGCAAGUUAAUCAAUUUCUAUUCGGAUAUAAGAUAUUUGAGGAAGUGAUAGAAAUAUCCCAUAGUGGUUUUUACUUUUUUUUGGUUCCUAUGAUAGAACUAACACCGUUGAUUGGAGAAAUUUAUCUUGUGAUUUUCAGUUUAGGGAGUUUAACACAUUAUAAAACUGAAUUACUAAACCUAACGUUGGUUUGGGAUCUGGGUGCAUUUGUAUUUUAAUCUUUUUAGGAUAUUUUUCUGCUUAUACUUCAUAUGACGAUUUGAGUUUGCUGGCUUAGUUUUUAACGUGAUUACAUCUUAGUCGUUUACUUGUUUUUAAUUGCU
rnacentral:lncRNA from 1 species